rnacentral:tRNA from 1 species
GCCCUUAGUAGUAUAAAUCAAUACACGGCUUGUAAACCAGAAAUGAACACUCUUCCCAGGGC